ACCCCUCCGGGAAAAGAGCGAGUGAAGGGGAGGCCGAGGAGAGCAGGAAAAAGAGGCGGUCGGGCGCUGGAAAGGAGCCGCCUGGAGACUCGGUGCGCAGGCGCACCCAUACUGAUGUUUAGCUGGCCACAUUGACAGACAGAGAGAAAGACUAUAUUUCCCAGCCUCCUUUGCAGCAAGGUUUAGCCAAACAACUCAUUUCUGGCACACAAAAUACAUGGUGGCCGAAGCUCCAACAGCCAUCUUGGAUUAUGAGCUAACUGUGAACAAGACAGCCAUGCAAGGGAAUGGUGGAACAGAAUGCUGCGGAGAGAGGAUUGUCGGCCAGCUGAAAAUAGGCAAGGAAAUGAGGGGCGCUGCAUGGGCCCUUGACGUCCUGCAGGGAUUCCAGGUGAUGUGAGUAGAUGUGCGACUCCUCUGCUCAGGUAGCUGGUGGUGCCCAAGCUCAAAUCAUUUUCCCAGGCAGGUCUUUAUAUGGACAUGUUUCAUUUCUCUUGGGUAAAUUCUUAGGAGUGGGAUUGCUGAGUCACAUG